CCUACGGGUGGCAGCAGUGGGGAAUAUUGCACAAUUGGGGAAACCCUGAUGCAGCGACGCCGCGUGAGUGAAGAAGUAUUUCGGUAUGUAAAGCUCUGUCAGCAGGGAAGAAAAUGACGGUACCUGACCACGAAGCCCCGGCUAACUACGUGCCAGCAGCCGCGGUCAUACGUAGGGGGCAAGCGUUAUCCGGAUUUACUGGGUGUAAAGGGAGCGUAGACGGCAGGGCAAGUCUGGAGUGAAAGGCGGGGGCUCAACCCCCGGACUGCUCUGGAAACUGCCAGGCUGGAGUGCAGGAGAGGUAAGUGGAAUUCCUAGUGUAGCGGUGAAAUGCGUAGAUAUUAGGAGGAACACCAGUGGCGAAGGCGGCUUACUGGACUGUAACUGACGUUGAGGCUCGAAAGCGUGGGGAGCAAACAGGAUUAGAUACCCCAGUAGUC
rnacentral:rRNA from 1 species